GCGCCGGGGCCGCGGAGGCACCGAGGCGCGCCGAGGAGGCGGCUCUGGCCCAGGUCGUCGCAGCAGCACAGGAGGCUGUAGCACAGCACCCGAUGCGUCUGAGUACUGAGCUCUUGGCGAUCCUCUCGGGCAGUCGUUCCCGUUUCCAGUGUUUGGUUCGACUUUCUCGGCUCUGCCGUGCCAGACGCACUGGUAUUGUAAGCAAUACAAUCUGUGUGACAGAGGGGUUCUGAAAGAACCGUGAACUUCUCCCAACACAGAGCACUCAGGUGGUGGCUCUCGAGCUAAUCUGUGUGAGCCAGAGAGGCUGCCCCUCCAAGUCUGGGUCUUCAGCUCUGACAGCUCUCACAUGUGGACCCUGCAGGCAGCAAG